rnacentral:rRNA from 1 species
UACGUAGGGAGCAAGCGUUGUCCGGAUUUAUUGGGCGUAAAGAGCUCGUAGGCGGCUUAGAAAGUCAGGUGUGAAAACUCCAGGCUCAACCUGGAGACGCCACUUGAUACUUCUAUGGCUUGAGUUCGGUAGGGGACCAUGGAAUUCCUGGUGUAGCGGUGAAAUGCGCAGAUAUCAGGAGGAACACCGGUGGCGAAGGCGGGUCUCUGGGCCGAUACUGACGCUGAGGAGCGAAAGCGUGGGGAGCGAACAGG